CUGGCAAUGGUUAUUGUUUUUUAAACAUUUGUUUCUGCCCUUGUAUAACUGAGGGCCUCGCUGGAGAAGUUCCACUCACUCCUUUAGUUUAAAAGACCAGGGGAGAAUCACAGGGCAGGGAGCAGUCUGAGGGAACAUCUGCUUCCAACCAGUUGCGUCACAAACAAGAAAGCCGAGGCCCAGGAAGCUGGAGCACCUGCAGGAGGUCACCGCCGCCAGCCCUGCACGGCCCUGCACGUCAACUGCUGAAACAGCAACAAGCACAAAGCGCAACGCUUCAGGAGCUUCCGUCUCCAUCCCGUCCGUCCCAGCUUGACCCAUCUUCCAGAAGGAUCCAUCAGCACGGGCCGGGCACACGUUUAGUUUGUGUUAUCCGCCCCCUCUUUCCUCCAGGACAAGGAAACACAGCCACCAUGCGGAGCAUGUCCAAUAAUUUGGGCGAAUGUAAAGUCAAAAUGUCCCUGAGCAUGUGAAGAAAGAAAAGGGGCAUAACGUGGAGAGUGGAAUGAUACCCUCUGUGCAGGGGACAGAGCUGCCCCUUUGAACACGGCCCGCCUCCUCCAAGGGCAGUGCUUGCUUAAAAGCAAAUGCUGGUGUUUUCUGCAGCGACUUCCAACAAAUGGCCAGUAAGACCCAGCAGAAAGACCAAAAGGCUAGGAAUGAGGCAGAAGGAAAGAAGGAGAAACAUCUGCCCUCUGAGCAGCAUGUGGAUAUUCAGGGACACUGGAUGGAGAGCUGGCAUCCAAAGCAAUGCUGCGGGCACCAGCGUGUGAGCACGCCUCCUCGAAGACUUUCAGUUCUUUUCAAAAUUCCAUAUGCAAACCACCCAGGUUCCAAACAACAGAGCAGAGAGAAUGUAAGGAGUCUCACCAAGGAGUAGGGGUGG